rnacentral:tRNA from 1 species
CAGAAAAUAGUUUAAGUAAAAUGCUGGUUUUGGGGACCAGCGAUAGAAGUUAAACUUCUUUUUUUGA